rnacentral:rRNA from 1 species
GACGAACGCUGGCGGCGUGCUUAACACAUGCAAGUCGAACGGAAAGGCCCUGCUUUUGUGGGGUGCUCGAGUGGCGAACGGGUGAGUAACACGUGAGUAACCUGCCCUUGACUUUGGGAUAACUUCAGGAAACUGGGGCUAAUACCGGAUAGGAGCUCCUGCUGCAUGGUGGGGGUUGGAAAGUUUCGGCGGUUGGGGAUGGACUCGCGGCUUAUCAGCUUGUUGGUAGGGUAGUGGCUUACCAAGGCUUUGACGGGUAGCCGGCCUGAGAGGGUGACCGGCCACAUUGGGACUGAGAUACGGCCCAGACUCCUACGGGAGGCAGCAGUGGGGAAUAUUGCACAAUGGGCGGAAGCCUGAUGCAGCAACGCCGCGUGCGGGAUGACGGCCUUCGGGUUGUAAACCGCUUUCGCUCAUGACGAAGCUUUGUGUGACGGUAGUGGGUAAAGAAGCACCGGCUAACUACGUG